AUGACAUAUCACUGCAACUUGUAAACCUUUAAAGCCUGCCACCUGAACUGCCUCUCCCUGUUUGUAUUACAUUAUGUAUUUUUGCCCCUUGUUUCCUUUCUUUCCCUCCCUGUUUUGCUUUUGCCCACAGCUUUCUCCUUUUGCCCUUUCUAUGUGCACCUCCUGAAUUCCUCCUUCAGUAUCUCUAUAUUAUAUAUAUAAUAAUAAUAAUAACAGUAGAAGUCCUUCAUCAGAGAAAGAGUGCUUUGUAAUGGAGAAGAUGAUGAUGGAGAUGAAGGAUGGAUGGUUGGGAAAAAUAAGCAGGAAUAUGUAUGCUGUUCUCUGUCUUGGUAUUGUCCUCUUUGCAGUAGCUUAUGUCUAUUAUGCUUUUCCAGAGAAACAACCCAUAAAUGGUGAUAACAAGGAGAGAUCUAAAGAGAAGACUUACUGCCUUACAAUCCUCUCCUCUUAGAUAAAUUCUUUUCUUUUUUUCUAUGUAUAAAAAAAAUAAACUUUAGUUCUCUAAUUACAACUUACAAUGAACACUGUUUUCUUGUUGUUUCUUGUUA